rnacentral:misc_RNA from 1 species
GUAUUUGUUUUAUAGGCAAUAAAGCCCAUUGAUUACAUUCUUAACAUACAUUUGGGGUAUAUGAAAAACGUAGACCUUUAAAAAUUAAAAGACAAUUGACAAGGAAAGCUGGACUUUGCGCGCAGCAGAUCCUCUAUCCGAGUUGCCUCGAGUAUUCGCUCUCUAAUUUCAAAAGACUACAAAAGGUGCACAGGUGGAGAAGUAAAGAUGGAAAGGCGUGCACUUGCUCCUAAGAACCAGCAACAACCUCUACCAAGUUUAUUCAAUAAUGAUCCUUCCGCAGGUUCACCUACGGAAA